rnacentral:rRNA from 1 species
GGUUAAGUUAAUAAGGGCGCACGGUGGAUGCCUUGGCACUAGGAGCCGACGAAGGACGUGACAAACGACGAUAUGCCUUGGGUAGCUGUAAGUAAGCGAUGAUCCAGGGAUUUCCGAAUGGGGGAACCCAACAGGUAGUACCUGUUACCCACAUCUGUUAAGGAUGUGAGGAGGAAGACGCAGUGAACUGAAACAUCUAAGUAGCUGCAGGAAGAGAAAGCAAAAGCGAUUGCCUUAGUAGCGGCGAGCGAAACGGCAGGAGGGCAAACCGAAGAGUUUACUCUUCGGGGUUGUAGGACUGCAAUGUGGACUCAAAGAUUAUAGAAGAAUGAUUUGGGAAGAUCAGCCAAAGAGAGUAAUAGCCUCGUAUUUAAAAUAGUCUUUGUAGCUAGCAGUAUCCUGAGUACGGCGGGACACGUGAAAUCCCGUCGGAAUCUGGGAGGACCAUCUCCCAACCCUAAAUACUCCCUAGUGACCGAUAGUGAACCAGUACCGUGAGGGAAAGGUGAAAAGCACCCCGGGAGGGGAGUGAAA